rnacentral:rRNA from 1 species
GCUACGGGGAGCAGCAGUGGGGAAUAUUGGGCAAUGGGCGCAAGCCUGACCCAGCAACGCCGCGUGAAGGAAGAAGGCCCUCGGGUUGUAAACUUCUUUUGUCAGGGACGAAACAAAUGACGGUACCUGACGAAUAAGCCACGGCUAACUACGUGCCAGCAGCCGCGGUAAUACGUAGGUGGCAAGCGUUAUCCGGAUUUAUUGGGUUUAAAGGGUGCGUAGGCGGGCAUUUAAGCCGGCGGGCAACUGUCGGGGCUCAACCCCGGCCUGCCGUCGGAACUGGGUGCCUUGCGUGGGCGAGAAGUAUGCGGAAUGCGUGGUGUAGCGGUGAAAUGCAUAGAUAUCACGCAGAACCCCGAUUGCGAAGGCAGCAUACCGGCGCCCUACUGACGCUGAGGCACGAAAGUGCGGGUAUCGAACAGGAUUAGAUACCCCAGUAGUC